GUCGUAGCUCAGUGGUAGAGCGUUUGUCUUGUACACAGAAGGACUCAGGUUCAGUCCCCAACUGGGACU